UCCUGGGCUCAAGUGAUCCUUCUGCCUCAGCCUCCUGAGUAGCUGGGAUUGUAGGCCUGCUACAGGCUGACAUAGUUCAAAAUUUUAAAGUCACAAAAAAGUAUAUAAUGAAAAUGCUUGCCCCAGUUUCUUGGGUAUUCAUCCAGAGACAACCUUUAGCACACACAAGCAGACAGGCAUAGGCAUUGUUUUCUCUGUUGUCCUCUUUUACCCAGGUGGGAGUGCGCCCUUUCAUCCGUUCAUCAGGAAUUGAAGCCAGCUCUUCCGCUCCUUGGUUUGGUUGUUUUGUUUUCCCACUUCACGGUGUCUCUAGCAUAUGGCUCCCUAUUCCUACAUCAACGGUUCUGGCUCUUUGUUCUCUCCACCGUCUUCCAUCACAUGGCCACACCGUAAGUGUGGGACCGGUCCCUACGGAGGGCACCUCCAACCCUUCGUCAUUCUUACAAACAACGCCACCGAGGUCAUGUCACAAAUGUGCACGCAUAGCUGGACUUUAGGUUUCUAGAAGCAGAAUUGCUGGGUCAAAGAAUGUGUGCCUUGAGUAGGUAUUGCCAAAGUGCCCUCCGGGGAGGCUGUAUCGGUUUACAGUCCCUCUGGCAAAGCGUGAGGGUGACUUUGCUCGCCCGUGCCAGGCAAGUGUGUCCUCACCGCUCUCAUCCUUGCCAGUCUGCUCGGUGGAACACUCCGGCGCAGUUUUGAUUUGCGAUCUCUCAUCCUCAGUGAGGCUGAGCAUCUUGUCAGCUACGGCUGGCCCUCGUCCUCUCCCCACACCGCCCGAGGCCAUGGCCUUGCCCAUCACCGGCUCUGCAAGACCGGGGCCUAGAUUUGUGUUUCUAUCUUCCGGCUUCUCGCUGAGUCACUCCCAAGAAGGACAGGGCGGCAGGGUCAGGUUAUUUCUGCCCGAGUCAUCUGAGCUGCCGGUCCUGGGAAGCCUUUGGCCUCUGGCUUUCUCCGUGGGUGCCCAGAACCUGUGCCUUGCACCUGUCAGACCCAGGCUUCCUGGUCCCCUGCGAGAGACGGGGGCUUGCAAGUAGGGAUCAGAGAAACUCUCUGCUUCUGAUGGGCUCCUGUGAUUGGAUCAGCUCUGCUCAGAUAAUCACUCUACUUACAGAUCAACUGAUUAGAUCAAGGAGCCACCUACACCCACCUGACCAGCGUCACCCAAGGGAGCCAGCCUGAAUCUGGCCUCUCUUGGGCUCAAAAGAAUCCGGAUCACAAUAGCUUGCUUGCCUGAAAAACUGGGAUGACACUCGUGGCUGUUGGUGAGAGACUGACUGUGCAAAUGGACAAUGGCCAGACCAGAUAUAAAAAUAGAGCUCUGACCCACAAUCCGAGGCAACCGGCCCGGGAAGCCAGCCUGCUGUCCACACGUCAGACCACCAGCUCUAACGACCGGUCCAGAAAGCCAGACGUGGCCCGACGUGACCAGGACUUGAUUUGUAACGGACUGUGUCCCUAAUUCUUGCCCCUGCUUCCGACUUGUCCUCAUUUCCAAGAAAAAGCCAAGCAUGUUCCCCCUUACCAGUCCCACAGGACACCCCACUUCUAGUUAGCUGCCUCCUGUCCAUCAAGACACAUGUCCUCUGCCUGCCUCUGAGUCCCUCCCAAACACAGGCGGCGGUGGCUGCCCCCCUGGGACAGCGAGCCCUGGGUAAUAGCCGUUGCGUGCUCUCAUUUGGGUGGUCUUCAUUUAUUUCCACAUUGGGGUUAGAGGAUUCAGAGAAUGUGGAAGAGUUGGUUAAAGAGUCCAGAACUCUAGAAAUGUCAGGCGGAAAGGUCCAAGGUCAGUACCAGAGGAGGCAUUCAGAGAAGGGCAGCAGCCAGGGACUGACGUCACCUGAGCUCGCACAUGGACGGCAGAGAGCCCUGCGGGACAGGCCCCUGCACCUGCACUCCGAGUGCCAGUCAUGGCAAAGGUGCAAGUGGGAGAAG